AUAUUAUCAACAACCCUAAAUAUUACUAAGAUAAACAAUUGUGCUAAACAAUACAUAUCCUACCUUUUGGGGCUCAACCAAUAAAACAAUAAAAAGUUGACCCAUUUGUAAAGUGCAGAAAGUUGAACAGUUGUGGAAUUACGUCAAAAGUGCCAAAUAUAAAGUUGUAAAUAAAAAGUUUUGAAAAUUCGCAAGUUGGUUGGCAUCGGUCGGAAAUUUCUAGAGGCGUGGUGAGUUUCGCCAGUUGGUUAGCGUCGGUUAGAAUUUUCUAGAAGCGUGGUGAAUAAAAUUGAGCUGCCAUCAAGUAGCGAAUACGAAAGCAUGAGUGAGGAGGAGAUAAAGGGAAAGCGAUAUGGUGCUGUCACACGGGCGUCGGCAAAGCGAGGAGACAAAAAUGAAAAUGCAGAAGAACAGCGUCUAUCAGAAGAGUGUACAGACCAAAUAAAAGAGAUGUAAGCAGAGAGUAAUAAAAGUCUACAACAAAUAAUUCAGCUGCUUACUCAUAAGAUUCAAGCUGAUGAAAUUACCCAGAAAGAGCCGAAAGUAACUGCAGACAAUUUUGCAAAAAUUGUACCCGACUUCGAUGGCGUCAGCAUCCCAGAGGAGAUUUGGCUUGAAAAUUUUGAGCAGAAUGCAGAUGCAUAUGACAUAAGAUACUAAGCGCUUGAAAGUAGUUUUGCUGAACGCUACAAAGGUCCUAGAGAGGUGCCUUGUGGACACAGGAUCCGAUGUGUCAAUCGUAUGUCAGUCUUUGUACAAUAAACUUCAAAGUACUGUGAUGCAGAAGUGUUAUUCCGUUCUACGGGGCCUUGGAAGCGCUAAGACGCAGCCGCUAGUUUCAUUUAUGGGCAGAGCACACGUUGCUGGGAUCGAAGCCAUAGAAAAGUUUGUUGUGAUACAAUACAAUCACAUCGAGAACGACGUAAUACUUGGCUUUGACUUUGCAUCGCAGUUCUGCGUGACUUUAAAUGACGGAGAAUUCAUCUUUACAAAGGCGCCAGCAUUGCCGGAAUGCGCUGAAUCAAAAGAACUAAGUAUGUACAAUAUUGUUGAGACUGGUAAUAACAUAGAUGCUUCUCCACAGUACCAGCCGAUGAUCGAGUCAAUGAUAGGAGAGUACAAGCCAGCCAAAAACAACACUGAAUGCCCGAUGUCGAUAAAGAUCGUGCUAGAGGAGCGUACAAAACCAUUUCGUCAUCAUCCAAGCCGUCACUCAGCUGUGGAAUCCGAGUCAAUCAGAAAACAGUCGUCGUGGUCAAGAAGAAGGAUGGCACAGACAGAAUCUGCGUUAACUUUCGUCAAUUAAAUAGUAUGGUACUUAAGGACUGCUUCCCAGUGCCACGCAUGGAUGAUGUGCUGGAACAGCUUCAGCCCGCAAAUGUGUAUGUAGUUAUGGAUCUGGAGAAUAGCUUCCUCCACGUACCAAUUGAGGAGUCCAGCCGCAAGUUUACAGCGUUCAUAACCAAGGAAAUGCUUUUUGAAUUCAAUCGAGCACCGUAUGGCUUUGCAACUUAAUCGUUUUGUCAGUUGCGUAUUUGAAGACUUGAUUGAAAAAGACGUCGCAGAGCGAUUCAAGCGCCACAGCUACAUUCUGGAGGUUAAAGCAUCAUAUCUUGCCAUGCAGAGAUUACGCUACUACCUGCUAGGCAUACAUUUCAAAUUGGUGACGGAUUGCGCUGCUUUUUCGCAAACAAUAAAAAAAAGGGGUGCCACGAGAAUUUGCACUUUGGAUACUUGCUUUGCAGGACUUUAAUUUCGAAGUUGAGCAUCGCUCCGGCAGAAGGAUGAAGCACGUUGACAGUCUCAGCCGAUAUCCACAAGAUAUGCCGUAACUUCUGAAGUUGCAGCUAGAUUAAAAGUUGCCCAGGAAAAGGAUAACUACAUUAAAGCUAUAGCAGAAAUAUUAAAAUUACAGCCCUAUGAAAAUUUUAAGCUGCAAGGUUGAAUUGUAUACAAAACCAUGAACGGCAGUGAAUUGUUGGUCGUACCCAAAACAAUGGAGCACACACACUACAGCAGCAGUUCUGGAUACCACAUAUGGAACGAAAAGUAGCCCAGCUGAUUAACACUUGCGUCAAGUGCAUUAUUGUCAAACGGCGCUUCUGUACAUUCUGGCCAUGCCUAAGGUUGCCCCCGAGAACUACCGCCUGCUCCUUCUCCUUCCUGCUGCCCUAGAAGAAAAACAAGUCAUGGUCAAACAUGACAAGGUCACCUUAAACUCCGAGGAAACCUAUGCCAUGGUGAACGAUUGCCUCUCCAUAGGCAACACAACUGUUGGGAAAAGAGUCUCCUAAAGAUGGAUGAAAACAGCUGCAUCCCCAAGCUACUCAAGGGUGGUCAGGCUAGAGGCGAACAACGGGGAUCGCAUAGAACUGGUCGAGGACGGCACUAUGUUCCUGUCCAACUUCAACGGAACCUUGGAAGCUGGACCCCAAACUCACAACUUAUCCGGAACCUACAUAGUUUAGUUCACGAAUGAGACGAUUAGGGUGGCUGGAAGAACCUGCACUAGCUACUCGACGAGCCACCUAACUACAGUCACCGCCCUCGCUCCAUUACGUAAUCGACUCUCUACACCAUAUGGAGGAAGCUGAUAUCGACCAAGGGUAUACCUGUAGUGACAAACAACACCCCAGGCCCGGAGAUGUUAGACACAGGCCGGGCACCCAAAGCCCUAUAAUCUGCGGGACGCAGAUCUUGAGUGGGGAGGAGUUAUGAACCCUCUCCAAGUGCAUUCCCCCCUCCCCUAUCGACCGUCGUUCUCACACGCGCUCCCCCCAUUGAGCCACUCGACGGUCAUUCACUUUUAAUUGCACUCCCAGAACGCUGACUUCGCCCCCCCAACAUGCCCAUUAACCAGACGAUAUAUUCGACGGCUGCGUCGGCUACAAUGUGCAGCGUCAGCAGGCGACCGCCAGACGUUCUGUAAGCAACCGCUGACUCGCAUUUCGGCCGCUGCCCAAUGGCUACGCGGGGUUGCGCCUCGCCCUGCGCUGGCUACAAAAAGUCGCACUCAGCACUGGAGCCGGAGCCCUGAUGAGAACCAACGCCAACUCUAAAGAGCAGUCUUCGACAGACACCCGAUCUUGCUAGUGAAAAAACUCCGCAAAGCCAAUUUAAAUCCGAAUAUUUCUUUUAUUAAUUUGUAAUCCUAAGUUGUUUGAUCUAUUGAAAUUAAAACGUUCUUGAUAACUGAUCUACUGAACUCUUCUCAAUACUGGGGGAAUCAAUCCUAGGGUCUAUCUUCAACUCAACACAUGUUUAAAAUGCUGUUCAUUGUUACUAGGUGAGCUAUGCGGCGAGAAACUAAUUCACUUAACUUACAUGUAACAGCAGUUAUCGAUAUGCGAUGAUCGAUAAUCAUCGCAAAGGGUAGCGUCGUGAGCGCAGGCAGAAGAGGAAGAAGGAGUUAUAAGAAAAAGGACAAGCAUAGAGCAGUCGAAGAAGAACAAAGCGAGUUGAAAAAUGUGCAGUAAAAAGAUCGUCUAGCCGAAAUAUAAUAAGCAAACUACUAUAAUAUCAAAAUAUUACUAAGAUAAACAAUUGUGCUAAACAAUACAUAUCCUACCUUUUGGGGCUCAACCAAUAAAACAAUAAAAAGUUGACCCAUUUGUAAAGUGCAGAAAGUUGAACAGUUGUGGAAUUACGUCAAAAGUGCCAAAUAUAAAGUUGUAAAUAAAAAGUUGUGAAAAUUCGCAAGUUGGUUGGCAUCGGUCGGAAAUUUCUAGAAGCGUGGUGAGUUUCGCCAGUUGGUUAGCGUCGGUUAGAAUUUUCUAGAAGCGUGGUGAAUAAAAUUGAGCUGCCAUCAAGUAGCGAAUACGAAAGCAUGAGUGAGGAGGAGAUAAAGGGAAAGCGAUAUGGUGCUGUCACACGGGCGUCGGCAAAGCGAGGAGACAAAAAUGAAAAUGCAGAAGAACAGCGUCUAUCAGAAGAGUGUACAGACCAAAUAAAAGAGAUAUUCAAGCUGAUGAAAUUACCCAGAAAGAGCCGAAAGUAAUUGCAGACAAUUUUGCAAAAAUUGUACCCGACUUCGAUGGCGUCAGCAUCCCAGUGGAGAAACGGCUUGAAAAUUUUGAGCAGAAUGCAGAUGCAUAUGACAUAAGAUACUAAGCGCUUGAAAGUAGUUUUGCUGAA